CGGGGUAAUGUCGGCCGUCAGUUUGGCUGGCACUUCGACAGCGAACAGCAGAAGAUGGACGGCAGGAAGAGGGCGAGAGGCAGAACGACUGGGAAAGGAAAAGCACUGCUGACGGUGCAAGCGACCGACAACCGACUAGCACUCGAGAGUCUGAAGAGUUUAACUGGCAGCGUAGGUGAGCCUGGCCUGGCCUGGUCCUGCCUCCCGAACAAAAGAG